rnacentral:rRNA from 1 species
UGAGGAAUAUUGGGCAAUGCCCGCAAGGGUGACCCAGCAACACCGCGUGGAGGAUGAAUGUCGUAAGAUUGUAAACUCCUGUUAGAGGGGAAGAAUAGUACCGGUUGGACCGGUAUAUGACUGUACCCUCAGAGAAAGCCCCGGCUAACUACGUGCCAGCAGCAGCGGUAAUACGUAGGGGGCAAGCGUUGUCCGGAUUUACCGGGUGUAAAGGGCGCGCAGGCGGGAUAAAAAGUCAGUGGUGAAAUCCUACAGCUUAACUGUAGAACUGCCUGUGAGACUUUUAUUCCUGAGGUCGGGAGAGAGAGACGGAAUUCCAGGUGUAGUGGUGAAAUACGUAGAUAUCUGGAAGAACACCAGUUGCGAAGGCGGUCUCUUGGUCCGACACUGACGCUGAGGCGCUAAAGCGUGGGGAGCAAACA